rnacentral:rRNA from 1 species
GUAGCCGACUGAGAGGUGAUACGGCCACAUUGGGACUGAGACACGGCCCAAACUCCUACGGAAGGCAGCAG